UGGACUCUCUGGAGAAAGCGGUAAGAUCAGAUUCUCCAGCUUGCUGGCUCUCCACCCCCUCCCGGCACGCCAUGCCCCCAGAUCUACAGUGGGGAAGUACAGUAAUGAGAUCCCCACCCAACCCCCCCCGCAGGAAUGCAUCAACAGCUGGCCAAACAUAAUCCAACACACAGAGCUGCCUUUGUAGAAAUAGUAACAAACAGUGGAAAGGCCAGACAGGCGUCCCAGAAGAGCUCCCCAUGACAACUGGGAAAACUCCUCCUCCCCAGGUUUGAGCGGACUCCACAGAGCUGGGGUCAGACCAGCACGGCUCACUCAUCUGAGUCCAAAACCAGCCUCAAGCACCUCCCCCAAACUCUGCGGAGGCGACUCCGAGGGCACUCGCCUCUCCACGCUGCAAGUUGGAUGCACGCUUGCUCCACGCGGACUGUGGCCGCUCUAGACACCGCAUGUCACGCGCCCUUCGGAAUGCAGCGCCACCGACUCCCAAAUCUCACCAACAGCAUCCGGCACCUGUGCCUUAACCGUGUAGCUGGGAGCUGGGAGGACCGCUACUCUUCCUUAGAAAAGGAUUUUUUUUUUUUUUAAAUUAUAUGCUGAUCCUGGAAUUGUAAAACAUGUAAAUAGAACACCGCAUUCGUGUCUAUCGAACAUCUUAGCAUCUGAAGCCUGUGGUAGCCAGCUGGUCCCGAAGUCAUCUGGGAUACAUUUAUUUUGAUUAAAUUGAUCAGAUUUCUAUUUACAGGAUAGAAUCUUUUCCCCAUACUGAAUACAGCUGUGUUUACAGGGAUUUGGAGGAGAAGAAGAAAACAAAACCCCGCAAUCAGCCCUAGCAAAGCGCAGAGCACUCAGAGCUCCAAGGAGUUAACGCUGAGGGGUCUUGCUUUCACAUUAACAAGAAAAUUCUGCAUGCAGCUGCUUUGGCCAUCGUCUCUAGCUAGUCAGGAAAUGGGUGUUGAGCUGAAGCUGAAAAUACAAGCUGCAAUCAAGCCGGGUCCAGCCAAGUGACAGACUUCCUGUGUAAAAUGGUCAGAAAUCUUUCUUUUCAUGUCUCUACAUGCAUGCACAUGCAUUUAAAGCCAUGCUGCUAGGCUGCGAUUCUCUCUGGGGACACGGUUCAGUCACCUAGCCCAUCAGUUUCUGCCUUGACAGCACAGGGGAUGGCCAGACUACAAUUUACAGUUCCUCCAUCCAUGUGCCGGGUUAUAAAUUAUGCCCUCCUCUCUAGACCGGGAAUGCAGACCAAGCGGCAGACGACCAAGCGGCAUCCGGCACCUCCUCUUGCCUUUCACGCCCUCCCCUCACUGUCUCUCGCCAGCUCUGCCUCGCCGGGCAGACGCAGCCGAUACCUGGUUCAUCCAUCUUCCGCUCUACUCAGAACGUUUGGCGGCCUGUCACCCAACGGAUCCUACUCAGCCACCAUAUCGGUGACAUCCAGAACCCUUCCGCACAUGGUCUGUGCAUGGCCCCUUUGUAUCACCACCUUCCUCUGCUACGAGUGAAGACACCUUGUUACCCGACUAUACAUUAUCUGUUUUGUAUAGACUACUCUGUUCCUGAGCAUCCAAACACGUCACCCAUUGAAUCAGGGAAAAUGUACUAAUUUGGGUCUACCGCUGUUAAUAACGAGGCAAAAGGCACUGGAAAGGAAGCCAAAGCCCCAUGAGGCACUCCCCUUGCCCUCAGAGAACGUAUCAUCUAUGGAAUCUGUGGUAUAUAUUCCAUGGGUCCUAACCAUGCACUAUCUUGAACUGCUAGCUACCUGUUCAAAUUUUAGUUUCUUUAAAAAAAUAAUAAAAAUAGUGUAAAUCUGCCCACUAAAUGAGCAUGAGGUAAGUAGGGCCAGAGAAGGGAAAGAUGACUUCUACCCAGAUGCUGGGAAGGGACCGCAGAGAACCCCGAGAUGUGCCGUGAGCCGUGAGAUGUCUGGAGGGGUGUGGUUGAGGCGUGGGUCCAGACAGACACUGCAAGACUGAACACGCAAGCGCGUCUCCUCCACACGUUUUACAUACGUGAACCCACUUCAUCUUAACGGUCCUAGGAGGGAUGUGUUGCUCUUUUCAGUGAUCUAGAACAGAAACACCAAAGAGAAAGGAAGGAAGUCGUCCAGGACCGCACAGGGAGGGAGUGGCUGGUCUGGGCCCUGAGCACACCGUCUUCGCCCCCUUGCCGGACUCGGCACUGGAUGAACGGUGGGAGGGAAACCAGCCCGGUGAGAAGACACAGCCAAGGCGCAGGGUGCCCGAAAGGAUCGAUUCGGUGCAAGGAGGCUGUUAGUUUUCGUAGCAGUGGGACUGUCCUGAGAACAAGCCAAGAGAACAACCCAGUCGUAGGACACGGGGCCGGGUAUAGCCACAGGUGAGACGGAAAGGGGACGGGGGAGCUUGGGUAGAAAGAGAAUAAUAAAGAGUUUCCCGCAAUAGAAUCACUAUCUGGGGACAGUGCCCCAACUCUGACAGCGGCCAAAGAAAAAUCGAGAUGGAUUCUGGAGGCUUUACGGAGAAAGAAAUGACGUUGCCGAAGUGCUCGCAGAGAACGAUGGUGGCCACGCUGACUGCACGUGUUUUUAAGCCUGGACAGAGAAAGAAGCAGGUCCCUGUGUGCAGGAGCCGUGUCAUUAAUCUGUUUCCCCAGUAGCGAGCACAACGCUGGAUGCAUUUUUACAAAAUGAUGAAUGAGCAAAUGAAAGUCACAGAGGUAGAAAUGGGAAAAUCAGAAGCGGUGCUCCGUAUGGGGAAAAACUACAGAGAACUCCGUGUUUCAUAGGACAUGCAAGGGGCAAGGUCCAUCAUGAGAUUCCAUACAGAGAAGUGGACUUUAUUUUCUCCUACCCCCAUUGGCCCAGAUUUUCGAGGGCAUGUUCCCCCACCACACGCCUCAGAUCUACUUUUUGGGCCCCCUUAGAUGAGGCGGUGCUCCCUCCGGCCUCUCCGGCCACCCCCAUCUUUGCCCACCAGCCACACACCGAUGUCAUCCACGGCUAGCCUGUGAUACAGAUGCCACACGCACCAAGGCAAGAAAAUACGUGUGUGAACAUAUUUUACCAUUCUCUUAUUUAUUUUUUUUUUUAUGUAGCGAAGGGAAAAAACAAAGGGAAGUUGAUCAGCCUUCUCACACAAUCUUAGCUAACCAGAAUACUAAAUUAACGAACGUACCUCAUUUCGUAGGCAGUUAAUGGAGGUUAAUAUGACAUACUGCCUCUGGCUCUGCAAGUAAAAAAGGGUGUUAUUGCCUCAUAUUAUAGCUGGGGAAAAAAAAGUGUUAAUAAUCUUUCUCAUCAGCAGUAAAGAAUUGGGCUUUUAAUACCUAGAUAUAUUUUAGUAAAAGGCUAGUAUAUCAUCUCUAAGUGGAGUUCAAGAGCAAUGUUAGAUAGAACUAGGGCAUUUCAAGAGCCUGCUUACACUAGAGACAAAAAAAAAAAAAAAAAAAAAAAGAAAGGAAAAAAAAGAGAAGAAAAGAAAAGAAAAAUAAAUUACAUCCAACGUCAAAUUUAUUGCUGCAUUCUUGAAGGAAAAAUAUUUUUAAAAAAUGGCGAAUUUAUGCGGGACAUGUUUUUAUUUGUAUUGCUUCAGAUCACUUCUAAUAAUUAAUCUUUAAAUGUUAAAAAAAAAACACCUUGGAUCUUGCAAAUAAGUGAUUUUGAGUAAACGGGGAAUAUGUGAGAAGGUCACUGUGUUAUUCAGUGACAGUCACACAUGUGUUAUGUGCACCUACUAAUACUAAUGUAAGAUGGCGUGUAAAGAACAGGAGUGGUGUAAAAUGAAUGAAGUCUAGGUGCGGAAAGAGCUUACCAGUAACUUUACCCUGGAAGACACUUCCCAUCCCUUGACAAAGGGGACCUAUUGCUUUGGAUGACAGUAAACAAUAGCAGAGGUUAGUAAAAAAAUAAAUAACAUAAAUAAUAAUUAUUAUUAUCAUGAUUAUAGAGUUGCCUUCUUGAGCGGUAAUCAACCCCACCAGGCCACUUUGAGGUCUCAGCAUAACAAAAAAGAAAGAAAGGAAAAGAAAUAGCUUGGACGAUAUGAAUAUUCAAUUAGUGUUACUCAUAAGUCCCAUAAGUGAAUAAGAACAUUAGGCUUUAGCUUUGCAAUCCUGGGACAUAUAAAUGAUGCAGUCAUGAUAAUGUAGAGAAAGGAAGGAUCUUGCAGGCUUACUUAGUAGUGUGCUAGAGGGCGGAAAAUUGCAUGCCAUGUUUUCGAACUUCCCCCAAAUGGAUACUGAAUUAAGAUGAGCUCUUCACAAAGCAGAAUGACAAAGUGACUAAUUGCUGGCUGCUGGCAGACCACGGAUUUCCCCUCCUUCUGUUACCCGGUGUCAUUACCCUGCCCCAUUUUACAGGGGCCAAGUGGCAAUUUUAAGGUGGAAGGGACUGUUUGUUCACCUGUGAGUGGUUUGACCUUAGACUCUGCAGAGCACUGUCAGGAAGUCGGUCUUUCCAUGCUCUUUACAGUAAACAAAGACAGUGUGGCCGGGCUCCAAAUGUUACAGAAGGUCAGGGACCAAACUGCCUCAAAGACAAAGACCGCUUCCAGAAAUUGAAACACAAAAUAGAUGUAAAGCACCAGCAACAUUCCAAACCGCGCUCCUGUCCAUUCUCAGUGUUUGGUUCAGACAAUGUGACACAUACCCAGCAUCGGGGCAUAAUAGAAACAGAAUCAUAAAACCCCAGGUGCUGGAAAGCACCUUAAAGGUCAUCGGGUCCAACUGCAGCUCUGAAUUGUGAAUGUUGCCCUUUAAAAAUAUCUCCUCCACGUAACCAUCCUGGCUCCCACGGGCACCUCCAGGGACUGAAAAAUGCAGUGCCCUGGGAGGGAGGCAGACCAUCCCAUCUCCUGACUGCAACAGCCUGAUUAUUUAAAAGCCCUGAGCCAAAAGGUCUGAUUCCAUGUUAGGGGAACCCUGGCUGUAGCUCCUGUUUCCUGGCCCUCGAAUGAGAAGUUGGAGGGCUCGAGUCUCAAAAGUUUUCCACGUGAUGGUCCUGCAAAUAUUAGAGGCAAUCUAUCAUCGCCCGCUCAGACUCUCCUUUUCUACAAAGAAUAUAUACGGUUUCUUUAACCACUGCUCUGUGACUACUACUCGAUUCAAAAUCCCCUUCCCAGCCUAUGAAUUCAGUUUCUUGGCAGCUCUGGGAAUGAUGCACACGUGGAGCAGAACACCGAAUCCCAGGAUGUGGACACACAACGUAAACGAUACCGUCACCUCCCUUAUUCUUGAAGAACAGAUCCAGCAGAGCAUAACCUGCCUUCGCUUUCCUGGCGGACACAUCAAACUGGUGACUCUCUGGGCUCCCCUGUGCCUUCGUGCAUAUGGGUUCCACGUAAAUCACAAUGUUGCCAUCGCCGGAUGCAGACUUUGUGAAUUAUUUGACCUUUUAUGUUGUUUGGGGUGAGUACAUAUAAGAAUCUAUAGUAUUAAAACAAACAAACAAACGUACAAAGCUAAGGUGGAGUAGCAAACCAGCCCUGAAGGACACAGGAAUGUAUGUAUAAAUAUAGAGACCUCUUCCAGGGGAAGACAGAACCCCCAGGGAAGGCAUCAAUUCCGAGAAGGCGGUGGGUACACCUGUCUUUCCUCUAUCACAACAGCGCCGCAUUGAGGGAACUGCCUCCGUGGUAUGGAACAGCUCGGCCUGGCAGGAAGAACACCGCACCGGCUGUCAAAAGCUCUGGACUGUGGUGUCCAUGUUGUAGUCAGGGAUCUCUUUGCUGUAUGACCACAGGUGAGCAGUCAGCGGUUUUCCAAUCCCGGUUUCUUCCGAUGCAAAGGACGAACCCCGACAAUAUGCACCCUGAGCUGCCCAGCAUCACAACAGCUAAUGGUCGUGUGGAAUUUUAAUUAAAUGUCUAAAAUAUGUGAAUACAUUGGCAUAAAUAAAAUGCUGACCCUUGGAUAACGUUGCCCAUAGACUUUCACGUUUAAUGGUUUCAAAACAUGUGAACGGCGCACGGACGCAUCUAAAAGGUCCUCUGUUCACAGUUGUUUUUAGAAGAUAUGCCAAUUAGUUACGUGAGGGAAGCCAGAAUGGGGGCCCUCAUUUUUUUAGCCUCUGAUAAAAAUAAUGGUUUUCAAUAGGUGAGCCAAUUACGGAGAUUCUUAGGGUAGGGAACGAAAUAAAUGUCAUAAUGUGAUAUCAUCACUUUUCCAUAAUCCAAAUGUCUUCGUAAAAUGUCUUUAAUUAACUCUACAGAGAGAACCUUUAGGUUGAAAAGAUCCACUUUCUUUCUCAUUUUUUUAACUAGAAGCCACGACAACACUGUUGCUCGAUGUCAAUCAGCAGCUGUCACAAUGGGAACACAGUCCACAUCCUUAGUUAGGAGAGAGAUGGAUGGCAAACGGUGACAAGAGAAGACCCGCUCAUCACCUGGAGAGCUCACGCAGGGUAGAAGGAACUCCACCGCAAGGUUCUAAGACGCAUCCAACCCUCCUAACGUUAACGUCAGAAUAGCUGACCUUUUUGCUACGUAGGUGAUUAGACUAUGCAAUUUUUCUCUUAGAUCAAAGAACUAAAACUAAAAAAUGAGAGAGGUGGGCUUGAUUUUCUCAAAAGUGGAGCCCACGGUGGACCCAGCCUUUCUCUGUGCCUGCCUCUUCACUGCCCCCGGCCCCAGGUCACCGUCAGGGAGUCAGCAGAGUUCUCUGGACCCCGGCCUUACGAGGCGAGGGUCACGCAGCACACCGGGGAGCCGGAAUGAGAAGUCCGGGCUGUGCCACGCACCUGUCGUCCAGACCCAGGCAGCGCUGGGGGCGGGGACCGACGCCCUUUGAUAUUAUCUGCUUGCAAAAUAUCCCUAGGUGGCAAACUGUUAGGAAAUUAAGUGCCUAACAGCAUCGGAUCUGAACACAAGUUGUAAACACGUCAGCUUACCGUCACCAACAGCGACUCUACGACGAAAUGACCUAGGUCACAGGUGACCACAUCUCCAUCCCAGCAGUGAAGCAGCCCUUCUAGAGGACGCUUUAAAGUCAGAAAAUGGCCACGCUGAGGAUGCCAAAUGCACACAGGUGUCUCGCUGGCCGCGACAGUCAUGAAGCUCUCAAGCGACAGAGGAAGCAGGAAUCCGCCCCAGACGUUCAGUUAGACCGAGCGCCUCGCCAGAGCGCGCUUCCCUGCGCGUGAUGGCCUUUUCUGCAGGUCAGCGACACAGCCUCACGGGGUCUGCACAAAAGUAAAAACACCGACGGGGAGAAAAGAGCACCGGGACCAGAAAGACGAGAUGCUGGUUUGUUCCUCCGUUUGCCUGAAUGCGAGGUUUAUGUAGACUCUAUCCCCUAAGGGAAAAACUUCAAUUAUGCUUUUAAAAAAUACUCUUGAAAUGUGAGAGACGUUCUGUGGGGUUUUCUUUAAGCGAACCGAAGCUCGAUGUUUCACUUUUCCGUGAAAAUGAUUCCGUUUACAUUAAACACUGGUUCCCAAUACUCUCCCUCUCCAGUACCCCCACGUUUUAUAUGUAGGUGGAUAUUGUGUGUAUAUAUUUUAUGAAGAUUAUCAAGUUACCAAAUUUACAUAAUUAUGCAAGUAUAUGAAAUUAUAUAAAUAUAUAGAAAGAUGGCCUUAA